AAUGAACGCUGGCGGCGUGCCUAAUACAUGCAAGUCGAGCGAACAGACGAGGAGCUUGCUCCUCUGACGUUAGCGGCGGACGGGUGAGUAACACGUGGAUAACCUACCUAUAAGACUGGGAUAACUUCGGGAAACCGGAGCUAAUACCGGAUAAUAUAUUGAACCGCAUGGUUCAAUAGUGAAAGACGGUUUUGCUGUCACUUAUAGCUGAAUCCGCGCCGCAUUAGCUACUUGGUAAGGUAACGGCUUACCAAGGCAACGAUGCGUAGCCGACCUGAGAGGGUGAUCGGCCACACUGGAACUGAGACACGGUCCAGACUCCUACGGGAGGCAGCAGUAGGGAAUCUUCCGCAAAGGGCGAAAGCUUGACGGAGCAACGCCGCGUGAGUGAUGAAGGUCUUCGGAUCGUAAAACUCUGUUAUUAGGGAAGAACAAAUGUGUAAGUAACUAUGCACGUCUUGACGGUACCUAAUCAGAAAGCCACGGCUAACUACGUG
rnacentral:rRNA from 1 species